rnacentral:rRNA from 1 species
AGCGAACGCUGGCGGCAGGCUUAACACAUGCAAGUCGAACGCCCCGCAAGGGGAGUGGCAGACGGGUGAGUAACACGUGGGAACGUACCCUUUGGUUCGGAAUAACUUGGGGAAACUCAAGCUAAUACCGGAUAAGCCCUUAUGGGGAAAGGUUUACUGCCGAAGGAUCGGCCCGCGUCUGAUUAGCUAGUUGGUGAGGUAAUGGCUCACUAAGGCGACGAUCAGUAGCUGGUCUGAGAGGAUGAUCAGCCACACUGGGACUGAGACACGGCCCAGACUCCUACGGGAGGAAGCAGUGGGGAAUAUUGGACAAUGGGGGCAACCCUGAUCCAGCCAUGCCGCGUGAGUGAUGAAGGCCUUAGGGUUGUAAAGCUCUUUUACCCGGGACGAUAAUGACUGUGCCGGGAGAAUAAGCCCCGGCUAACUUCGUGCCAGCCGCCGCAGUAA